UUUUUCUUUUACAGUUAAAGCCAUCAGAUAAAUAGAGGAGAAAUUGUCCAAGUUGUUAGGUUCAAGAGUGUCAGUCUCACUUUGUUUAAACAUAAUCUUUUCCUUAAAGAGAAGCUCUGAAAUGUAAUCACUUGGCAUGCAUGCUCAAAUUCAGUGACAUUUUAGUGUAUACAGCCUUGCUGCUUAGCUCUAGGUAGCCCAUCAAAUUAAAAUCACAUUUUCGGGAUUUAUAGCUCAUUAGAAUAUUUAUCUUGGUAAGCCUCUUAUUCUGUCAGUAAUUUUUAAACAAUUCACUGUUUGGCCAAUUUAUGCAAUCCCCUCAUUCUGUAAAUGAAGAGGCACUAUACAACUUAACCUCUCAAACAAGUCUUAGUAGAAAGCUCGUAAGCCACCUAGAAAAAAAUACCAAAGUUUGAGAAUAUAGCUGUAUUCUUGAGAUUCCUAAUGCCUAGAGUAUUUAAUCAGUGAAAUUUGGUAUGUGAGACGUCUAAGAAACAAUUGCCUUUGCAUUUGACAAAUGAAGCUUUGGAAGACUGGUCGAAUUUGGGA
rnacentral:lncRNA from 1 species